rnacentral:rRNA from 1 species
GUUUGCUCCUGGCUCCGGCCGCCCGCUGGCGGCGUGCCUCCUCCCUGCCCGUCGCCCGCCCCUUUCUUCCCCCGCCUGCUUGCCUUCCUCGUCCGCCGUUGCGUGGCGGCCGGGUGCGUCCCCCGUGGGUCCCCUGCCUCCCCGCCGGGGCUCCCCCUUGGCCCCCGGUGCUCCUCCCGUCUCUCUCUCCGGCUCGCCUGCUCCUUCGCUGCCCGCUGGUUCUGCUCUCGCUUUUCGCUGGCCCCGCGGCGUCUUCCCUCGUUGGUGGGGUCCCGGCCUCCCCCGGUGCUGCUCCGUCGCCGCCCUGCGCGGUUGCUCGGCCCCCUUGGGCCUGCGCCCCGGCCCCCCUCCUCCGGGCGGCCGCCGUCGGGCCUCUUCCCCCUGGCCGCCCGUCUGCUGGCGCCCCGCCGCGUGCGUGCCGCCGGUCUUCGGCUCGUCCCCCUCUGUUGUUCGCGCCGCCCCCGCGUGCGCGUCCCUGUUCCUUCGCUGCCGGUCUCUCCCCCGCCCGUCCCGGCUCCCUCCGUGCCCGCCGCCGCGGUCCUCCGUCGGUGGCCCGCGUUGUCCGGCUUUCUUGGGCGUCCCGGGCCCGCCGGCGGUCUUUUCCGUCUGCUGUGCCCGCCUUCGGCUUCCCCGGCGUCGUGCCUUGGCCCCUGGCCGCCUUGCGUGCCGCCGCGGCGCGUGGCCCUCCCUGUGUCGCGGUGCCCUGCGUCGCUCUCUGGCCGCCCCCCCGUGGCGCCCGCGGCUCUCUGGUCUGUCCCUGCCGCUGCGGUUCGCCCGCGUGGGUCGCCCCCCGGCUUCGCUCCCCUGGUCGUCCCCGCCGUCCCCGCUGCCUGCUCGGUGUUGGCGGGUUUCCGCCCUUCCGUGCCGCCGCUCCCGCCCUCCGCCUUCCGCCUGGGGCGUCCGCCCGCCCGGUUGCCCCUCCCCGGCCUUGCCGGGGGCCCGCCCCCGCGGUGGCGCCUGUGGUUUCCUUCGCCGCCCCGCGCCGCCCCUUCCCCGGUCUUGCCCUCCUUUGCCCCCCUCCGCGCUUCGGCUUUUCCCUUCGGGGCCCCGUGCCCGGUGGUGCCUGGCUGUCGUCCGCUCGUGUCGUGCGCUGUUGGGUUCCGUCCCGCCCCGCGCGCCCCCCUUGUUGUCCGUUGCCCGCCUUCCGUUGGGCCCUCUGGCGCGCCUGCCGGUGCCCCCCCGGCGGCCGGUGGGGCCGCCGUCCCGUCCUCCUGCCCCUUCUGCCCUGGGCUCCCCCGUGCUCCCCUGGCCGGUCCCCGCGUCGCCGCCCGCGCGGUUUCGCUCCUCUCUUCCCGCCGUUCUCCGUUCGGCUUGUCGGCUGCCCCUCGCCUCCCUGCCGUCGGCCUCGCUCGUCCUCGCGCCUCCGCCUGUCGCGGUGCCUCCGUUCCCGGGCCUUGUCCCCCCGCCCGUCCCCCCCUGCGCGUUUGUCCCCCCCCCGCCGGUGGGGUCCCGCCCGGCGCCCGCCGUCUCCGGUGGGCCCGCUGCUUGGGGUGCCGUCGUCCCCCGGUCGCCGUCGGCGCCCCUGCGGCUGGCUCCCCUCCUUUCU